GAGGAUAUAGCUCAAGUGGUAGAGCGCAUGCCUAGCAUGCACAAGGUCCUGGGUUCAAUCCCCAGUACUGCCU
rnacentral:tRNA from 1 species